rnacentral:miRNA from 1 species
ACGUAUAUAUGUAAACAUGUAUGUGUUUAUGUAUAUACACAUAUAUACAUAUAUAUAAUAUAUAUGUAUAUAUAUAUACACACACAUAUAUAUGUGUAUAUAUAUAUAUA